GCUACGGGAGGCUGCAGUGGGGAAUAUUGGACAAUGGGGGGAACCCUGAUCCAGCCAUGCCGCGUGUGUGAAGAAGGCCCUCGGGUUGUAAAGCACAUUCAGUGAGGAAGAACGCCUGGUGGUUAAUACCCAUCAGGAAAGACAUCACUCACAGAAGAAGCACCGGCUAACUCCGUGCCAGCAGCCGCGGUAAUACGGAGGGUGCGAGCGUUAAUCGGAAUUACUGGGCGUAAAGCGCGCGUAGGUGGCUUGAUAAGCCGGUUGUGAAAGCCCCGGGCUCAACCUGGGAACGGCAUCCGGAACUGUCAAGCUAGAGUGCAGGAGAGGAAGGUAGAAUUCCCGGUGUAGCGGUGAAAUGCGUAGAGAUCGGGAGGAAUACCAGUGGCGAAGGCGGCCUUCUGGACUGACACUGACACUGAGGUGCGAAAGCGUGGGUAGCAAACAGGAUUAGAUACCCCGGUAGUC
rnacentral:rRNA from 1 species